GCGACUGCUCCCGCGAGGUCAGAGCCGGGCUGUGCCGCUGCCCCCGGGACUAGAAAGGGAAAUCUCCUUGCUAGAGGAGGAAGCCCUAAGAACUCAAGGGAGAUAGGGGUGGCAGGGGCAUUUCCCUGGAUGCCUGGAGCAUGGAGGGUGCGAAAUAAGGAGGCUUUCCUACCCCAUUGAUGAGCUGAAGUUGAUUCCGCACGGGGGAGGAAAGGGACAGGAAGCAUAAUUGGAUGUGCAAGCCUGUGGUUCUUCAGGAAGUUAACACGUGGAACUAACACUGUUGGAUGCUGCUGAACUCUCAGGUGAUUGAUGUGACUAACCUCCUCAGAAAAAUCAUCAUUGACAUCCAACACCAGCACUGGAAUGUUCAUCAGAGCCUCAAAGUGGAGCCUAUAAGAAGCGUGAACGUUUGGGGGACAGAAAAAAAGAAAUGUAACUUGAGUCAAGUUUCACAUACUCGCCAAGUCUUACUCAGAGAACAGAUCUAAAUUCAACAUGACUUUUCAAAGAAACUGCAUGUAAACUGCAUUUAAAAAAACAAAUUCAAUAAAGUUGGCCGGAAACAGAAAAAAAAAAAAA
rnacentral:lncRNA from 1 species